GGAGUAACAGUUUGAGGUGGAUCCCAGCCUAUUGAAUAACAGUUUGAGGUGGAUCCCAGCCUAUUGAGUAACAGUUUGAGGUGGAUCCCAGCCUAUUGAAUAACAGUUUGAGGUGGAUCCCAGCCUAUUGAAUAACAGUUUGAUGUGGAUC